GUGCCACAAAGAGUUUGUGAGGCUGGAUGGGAGGUUCUCCACCAACGGAUGCUCCCUGGCACAGGGUUCUGAGUCCUGAGCAAGAUCGGGGAAAUGACUCACUUAAAAGAAGUCUUUAUCAACCACAGCAGAAUCCACAGUUAUAUGGCUUCUGGGAAUUUCCAGGUUUUCAGGUGCUAAGUGAGGGAGGAAGAGGGUAUGAAGCCUCCUGGCACAGAGUUGCUGGCAAUGCUCUGCCCUGCUGGCCCUGCUGCCUUCACCAUCAGCCACUCAGGUAUAGAAAAUGCAGCUACCUCUUAGGAGUCCAGAGAGGAGGUCUAACUUAGGACUCAGGCCAGUGGCUCUACCAUCUACCAGAACCUGUGAUCUUGGACAAGUGAUUGAAUUCUGUGGAUCCUCCAUUUCUUCAAAACCUAUAAAAUGGGGCAAUAAUGGUA